rnacentral:rRNA from 1 species
CGCAGCCGCGGUAAUUCCAGCUCCAAUAGCGUAUAUUAAAGUUGUUGCAGUUAAAAAGCUCGUAGUUGAAUUUCGGGGUUAGUAGAUUGGUCAUGCCUCUGGUAUGCACUGGUCUUACUGAUUCCUCCUUCCUGAUGAACCGUAAUGCCAUUAAUUUGGUGUUGCGGGGAAACUGGACUGUUACUUUGAAAAAAUUGAGUGUUUAAAGCAGGCUAACGCUUGAAUACAUUAGCAUGGAAUAAUGAAAUAGGACGUUCGAUCUUAUUUUGUUGGUUUCUAGGAUUUGACGUAAUGAUUAAUAGGGAUAGUUGGGGGCAUUAGUAUUCAAUUGUCAGAGGUGAAAUUCUUGGAUUUAUUGAAGACUAACUACUGCGAAAGCAUUUGCCAAGGAUGUUUUCAUUAAUCAAGAACGAAAGUUAGGGGAUCGAAGACGAUCAGAUACCGUCGUAGUCUUAACCAUAAACCUAUGCCGACUAGGGAUCGGAUGAUGUUAAUUUUUAUGUACUUCAUUCGGC